AGCAGCCGCGGUAAUUCCAGCUCCAAUAGCGUAUAUUAAAGUUGUUGCAGUUAAAAAGCUCGUAGUUGAAUUUCGGGGUUCUACCGUUGGUCGGGCAAUUGUCUGUACUGGCGUGUGGAAUUUCUACCUUCUGGGGAACCAUCAUGUUAUUAAUUUAGCGUGGUGGGAAACCAGGACCUUUACCUUGAAAAAUUAGAGUGUUCAAAGCAGGCUUACGUCUGAAUACAUUAGCAUGGAAUAAUAAAAUAGGACGGUGGUCCUGUUUUGUUGGUUUCUGAAUCACCGUAAUGAUUAAUAGGGAUAGUUGGGGGCAUUAGUAUUCAAUUGUCAGAGGUGAAAUUCUUGGAUUUAUUGAAGACUAACUUCUGCGAAAGCAUUUGCCAAGGAUGUUUUCAUUAAUCAAGAACGAAAGUUAGGGGAUCGAAGACGAUCAGAUACCGUCGUAGUCUU
rnacentral:rRNA from 1 species